rnacentral:misc_RNA from 1 species
CUCGGCGGAACGCUGACGGUGUUUGCACUGCCGCAGUAAAGCUGCACGCAGAUGCACAACGAAACGCUUCCGGCGCGUGGAACAUUUUCACGCGCCGGGUCAUUUUAUUUCCUGCAUCCGACAUUCACAUUUCGAGGCGCGCUCGUGUACAUCGGUAUCAUUGCCGUAGCGGUACUGGCUGGGGNNNNCUGGGAGGCGUGGCGUUCGCGGACGGAAGCGGCGAUCCUGCCGCCGUCAAGAACGAGAACG